GGACUCAAUCCCAUGACCCCAGGAUCACAACCUGAGCAGAAGACAGAUAGACACUCAACCACUGAGCUACCCAGGUGCUCGAUCAUGAUUCUUUUCACAUAGUUAUCAUCAUGUUGGUUACUCUCUUUACAUCCCUACACUGACCAUUUAAUAAUGGUUGAUUAUUUACCUGAAGGUUAGGGUUAAUAAUAGUUGAUUAUUUACCUGAAGGUUAGGGUUAUGGUUAUUUUGUUAUGGUUAUACUAGUGGAUGAUAAUAAGGGUCACAUCCAUUUGUGUAGAAGGAAAGAUCUCUCCUGGAUUGAGAAAUCAUUUCUCAGUUAUCUGGGUCAGAGACCUAACUCUGAGCCCAGCGCUGGAAACCAAGCGUCCAAUAAGAUGGGACUGGGGCACUCGUAAUUUUAAUGGUAGCAGGGCCAAGAAGACAGCCCCCUGGUGGAGUUGGUCAAUGGUCUCAUCAAUGACAAUUAAUGAGUCAGGAAACAAGAAUGCUGGGAGAUGCUAUCUGAGCCACAGGGUAACUACCCCAAAUGCCUGGAUCUAAGACAGGACUUGUGAUCCCUUGAGUUCAAGCUAAUUCAUGAGAAGAUCAGAAUUCGGUAUUCUGUAAGCUUUAAAAAAAAAAUGCUUUUGACAUUUUUCAAAUUCCCCUUUCAAAUUUCUCUUUUGUUUUCUACGUGUAUUGGGUAAAGUUGUUUUUGAAAACCCAGUCUGCCUCAGCUCUGUUAAGGGAAACAAAUUAUAGGCUUUGCCUUUGCUUGAGCAAGCCCAGGGCCAGAAGUACACAGUGAGGCAACACACACUCAAGUUAAAGAAAUCUUACGGAAUGGGAGAAUCGGGAGGAAGAGUAGGAGUCACCUGCUGGGUUCCAAAUCCAGGAAGAUUUAGAGGGCAUUUUACCAAGAUUGGCAGCAUUUUAAAAUAGACAAAUAUUGUAUUACUUGGGAUAAUUUUCAUUUCUCACACUAAAAUGUAAAAGUACAAUUGCAUACAAAUCAGAAGUCUGUUACUUGCAAAAAUUCAGAGCAUACAUACUCUAUAAGCCUUUUUCCCCUUGACGGUAUAAACAAGGUCUGUUUUCCCAAUUAGUUUCAUACAAAAUGCAAACAUUAUUCUCCCAUCAUAAAAGUAAUUUUGAAGCUCAUCUAAAAGAUUACCAGGUAAUACUUUAGCAUAGUUACUCAAGAUACACUUUUUUUUUAAGAUUUUAUUUAUUUGUUUAUGAGAGACACAGAGAAAGAGAGAGGCAGAGACACAGGCAGAGGGAGAAGCAGGCUCCAUGCAGGGAGCCCUAGUGGGACUCAAUCCCGGGUCUCCAGGAUCACGCCCUGGGCUGAAGGCGGUGCUAAAUUGCUGAGCCACCCAGGGAUCUCAAGAUACACUUUUUUUAAGAAUAAAAUUUGCCUUAGGUAUUAUGAGAUAGCUUUUCCAUUGUACAUAUUCUGUUGUAUUUUCCAAACAAUGUAAAUAACAAAUUAUUUUAGAAGGAAGCUAUCUACAAAUUUCCUUACUAUUGCCCCAAUAACGUAAAAUAUAUUAAUUCUUAUUAAAUUGAAAUAAAUCAUAGACAUUAUAUACUUAUGAGCUACAUAAAUUUACAUUACAAAUUAUAUAAAUUAUAUGCAUAAAAAUUUAAGGAUAUAUUCUUAAAUUAAUCUUAAACACAAAUCUGCAAGGUGAAUGCUUUAACAUUUCCCAUUCUAAAAUCCAUGAAAUACUCCUCUAGAAGCAGCAGCAUUGUGAUAGAAUUCUUAAGUGAAGUUUGCUGAAACUUCUUGAGAUAAUGCAUAUCAUUUUUAGACCAACUAGUUUUGAGGUUAGACAAACUGAGUAAAUCUGAAAGUCUGGAUCAAGUGUCUCAUGUCUAACUUAAAGAUUAUUGAUAAAAAUUUAUUGGAAAGCAUUGAUUUUUUUUUUAAGUGGCUCAAUGCCCAGUGUGGAGCCCAGCAAGAGGCUCAAACUCAUGACCUGUCGAUUGAGACCUAGCUAAGAGCAAGAUCGGAUGCAUAACAACUGAGCCACCCAAGUACCCCUGGAAAGCACUGAUUUUUAAAAAUAUAGCCUCAAUGUGAAUUUGGGGUAACUGUUUUCCCUGGAAACCUAUGGAAUAGAGUUUUUUCUUCCAGAGGAAGAAAAAUUGUUUAUUUUCUUAGAAACUUUGCCCAAUAUACGUCUUUAAGAUGCCAGAAAUUUUGUAAAUUUCCUAUCUCUAAAAAAUGGAGCACUUCAGUCCAUUGAAUAUGCUCAAAACUAGAACACAUGAACUAAAAAGCGCUGAACUUUGAAAUUACAAAAGUAGAAGACAUCCAUAAAAUACAUUCUAUAUGAGACACACCAAUCAGAUUCUAUUUUUUUUUUUUGACAGCAUAAAAUGUACUUACAGAACUGGGUGUUAGUGUAACAAUAAAUUAUUAUACAAAGUAUUUUGAGGGAAAAAAUUCGGUUAUCCAAUCUUCUCUUUGAGCUCUAUGUAAAUAGAAAUUUACUCUAAGGACUGUUUGGGGUAUAAAAGUCAAAGUGAUCCAAAAGUGUUCAGGAGAUAACCUGAGAUUUUAGAAGCAAAAUGUAUACAAUCAAAACAGUUUUUUUUUUAAAGGUUUUAUGUUUUUUUUUUAAUUUAUUAUUUAUGAUAGUCACAGAGAGAGAGAGAGGCAGAGACAUAGACAGAGGGAGAGGCAGGCUCCAUGCACUGGGAGCCCGACGUGGGAUUCGAUCCUGGGUCUCCAGGAUCGCGCCCUGGGCCAAAGGCAGGCGCCAAACCGCUGCGCCACCCAGGGAUCCCUCAAAACAGGUUUUUAAAUCAGCUGGCAUUAAAAUAUUAGAAUAGAAAUCAUAAUAACUGCUAAAUGCCAUGGUAUCACUGUUAACCAGUACUAGCCAGAGAAUUAGAGAAGUAAAAAUAUUAGAGAAGUGAGACUUUCAGACCAAGAUGAGAAAAAAAAAGUUUGGAUAAAAUUUAAAGUACUC
rnacentral:lncRNA from 1 species